GGGAGUGGUUUGAUGUGAAGGUUUUUUUUUCCUUCAGGCAUUGAAAAGAAAAAAGAUGAAAUAUAUGUUUAUAUAUAACUCUCUACAUACCUCACUGAAGUCAAAAUGCAUUUAAUUGUGUACGUAUCUUUUAAAUGAGGAACGGUACUGGAUUUUUUUCUUCUUUCUUAAAAAAAGUGACAGAAAUCCUAGUGACUUUGGGGGGGAGAGAUAUGAAUAGAUACGAUGAUUGAGUUUUUUUUCAAAGGAGUCCAUGUUUGAUUCUCUCCUUCACCCAGCAUUCUCAGUGGUUUGUAAUUGUCAGUUUUAUCUCUACUUUUUCCCUUCCUCUCCUGCAGUUGCUUGCUUGUAAAAUCAUCUGACUUGAGAAAUUAAUUUGGUGGUGAAUAGGACAGAUUUUUAGAAGAAAGAGGAGAGGGUCAGAUCUGAAGAUUGUGAAAUUCUUUUCUCCUGUUGCAGCGAACACCUCUUCCUCCAUGACCUUCGACACUGAUAAAAGUGGAAGAAACUGAGGCACGGGGAGAGAAAGGCAGCUGAGAAGAGAGGAAUGAGAAAUGCUCACCCUCCCCUAGUCAACCCCGUGAUGUUACCUGGAUGACAGCACACACUCCUUGGUCUCUUCACUGAAACCUAUGUCACGGAAAGACAUGGCCACACCUGGGGGAGUGACCUGCCGUGAGGAUGUAGGUGGACGUCAUGAAUGACAUACAAGCUGUACUUACCGGCAUGUGGAGCAGGGAAUCUGACACCUGGAUAGCUCCCUCUAGCCUCUGAGGGCACUGAACACGUGACUGAGCCAACACAGGGCUGUUGGAAUUGAACCUUGUCCUCUGGAAGAGCAGCCAGACCUCUUAACUGCUGAGCCAUCUCUCCAGCCCCAUGGUCCUAGGAAUUGAACCCUGGUCUUCUGCGAGAGCAACAAGUGCCCUGAACUCGGAACCAUCUCUUCAUCCUAAUAAUGUUCGUUCCUGAAAUAAACAUUCAUUUGUUAAAA
rnacentral:sRNA from 1 species